CACGUAGGGGGGCGAGCGUUUGUCCGGAUUUACUGGGCGUAAAGAGCGUGUAGGCGGCAUGGCAAGUCUGCUGUGAAAGCUCUCGGCUUAACCGGGAGAGGUCGGUAGAAACUGCCAAGCUUGAGGACGGUAGAGGGGGGGUGGAAUUCCCGGUGUAGUGGUGAAAUGCGUAGAUAUCGGGAGGAACACCGGUGGCGAAGGCGGCCCCCCUGGUUGGAUACUGACGCUGAUACGCGAAAGCGUGGGGAGCAAACAGG
rnacentral:rRNA from 1 species